GUAAGAUGAGGCGAUGGGUCUCUCCCCCGCCCUCCUUCUACCCUACCCUCCUUCCCCCUUCGCGCCCUUUCCUUGGGCUCUUCCUCUCGUGGCUCAGGCUGGGGGUUACCCAAGCUUGGCAGCAGCCGCGGCUUCAGCGCGCUGGUGCGAGUGCUGAGUCCGGGAGGCAGCCUCUACAGCUCUCCCCGCCACCGGCCUGUGGCACCUGUGCGCGCACACUGCCGCCCGCUCCAUUGCGGCGGCUCCUGGACCAGGAUCCGCAGCCUGUCGCCCUCCUUCUCUCCUCUUUCUGGGCAGAUUAUGAUCCUACAUGUGCAUCCAUGACAUCUGUAUAGUCCCCCAUUGGUGUUUGUUUCCCUGGGCGCUCUUUGGCACUGGCUGUCCCGCCAGAAGGCGCCAGCAGGGAGCUCAAUGCCGGCAACCAUCGCCUGCCCCUUGGAGCUGUUGCCUGGGCAGGGGUGGCCUUGGUUGUUUACCGCCGGGGUUGACCAGCUAACGAGGGUUGGUCCCGCUUUCGUAGUGUGGAUUUUCGUUUCCUCUACUUGACUCUAAAUCAAUCCUGUAUAUUCGCAAACUACAAAGAGGCGCAUGCAAAUAGAUACUGUACUGAGGGCAGAUACACGCGCGAGAUCCAGAGGGUACAUAAAUUUUCAAGUAGGAAAAGUCACAAGUAUGGAAUCUACAAAUAAAGAGAUCUACUGUAUGUAUACAAUCACAGCUCCCAGGCAGCUGUGAUGGUGGGGAGGCAGCUGCACAGUGAUGGCAGUGGCUGCCAGGCAGUCCCCCACAACCCUGAGAAAGGAAAAUUCUGCUCUCUGAAUCUGUAGAAAGAGGAGGAUGAGAGCGAGGGGCAGGAGGAAGAUGUGGAGAAGGAGAAAGAUGAAAGAAGAAGCCUUCAUAAAUACUUGUUUUAAAUUCAUGUCACAAGGGAGCACCUAAUAAGGACCUGACUCACAGUGGACAUUAAAACAGUGAUUAUGUGAACUAAUUGGUGGAUAAAUCGUUGGCUCUCUGCUUCAAGCACAGCAAAACAAGUCAGCUUCUUGGAUAUCUUUUAUGGGAGAUAAUAUGGCUAUCCAAAUGUUCACCAAUCCCUCACUUAUGCCUUGUGCCCACUCAUGGGAGACAUAUAAUCUCAUGCCCCAGUGAUGUUGGGCUUUGACAUGUGACUUGCUUUGGCCAAGAGAAUGUAAUCAGAGAUAACAUAUGCCACAUUUUAUUAGAAGCUGUGAGAGAUAUUUUACAUUUCUAUCAGUCACCUUUAAUUUCUGCCCUCUGGAAUUUUAAAAGUAUGUUGUAGUUGUGGCUAAUAUUUCCACUUGGAUACUGCAAUAAGAAAACACAAAGAGACAGGCCAAGCACAAUAAGACCAACCAACCAAAUCCAGAAAUGCUCAGCCAAACUGAAGCUGACCCUCGGCAUUCAUGUGAUGGGUGAGAACUACAAGGUGUAAGCCUUUGAGAUUUUGUGGUUCUCUGGCUGAAAGAAAAGUUGAUUGAUAUCCUUCUAUAAAACAAAAGAUUCAGAAGGAUCUAAUGGAUUAGGUUUUAGUAUAUUAUUGCAAAUCAUAAUGAAUUCUUAGAUACAUAUUUUUUAACCAUAAUAGGAAGAAUAGCUAUUUAUACAACUCAUAUUUACAAGAUGAUUUCAUAUUUUUAGUUCAUUUUCUGCUGUGUAGAAAUGUAAUGGUUAUAAUAUGGUGCCCUUUCAUGCUCAUCAAGCACUCUUUUAUCUCACUAAUGAAGGGCAAAAGUGAUGGACAUAUGUUGUUACUAGAAUAAAAGGCCACCUUACACUCAAGAAAAUUAAUGUAUUACUGUGAUAACUUUGUUCUCUAUUAAAAAUGAAUCAUUCUUGAAUCAGAAUUUCUUUACUUUGGAAGUUAGUAUUUCACCCUUAUAUCAAUUUAACUUUGUAGAAAUAUGACUAGAAAUUAAAUGGCAUAAAAACUGAGAAACAAAUUUAUACAGAAAAGAUUUACAAUUUAUAAUGAGUUGUGCCAAGUAGGAAAUAUUUUAACCUCAUAAGGAUAAGUGUGAAAUCAAGAAAUUUGUAGUCAAAGGUGGUUCAUCCUAUAAAAAUAAAAAUAUAUAGGAGAAUACUGAUGAGAAAAGAAAAUUAAAAUAUCCAGAAAUUUUCAUGUAGCUUAUUUGAAGUCACAAAAUGUGACAAAAAUACCAUAAAAUAAAAUGUGUAAUUCAGGGCUCCAGAAAUGGCCAUGGUGCUGAUAGUUGACAGCUGUUGUUUUUGCCUUCCCAGCACUCUCCCACUUUUUAAUGUUAAGAGAAUUCUAAUUCUGUUUUGGGAAACAUCCUCUCCUCUUUCACUUCAGUAGCCCUAGUGCUAUAGUGUCAUUCCUCUUUUAAAUGUGGGCAAUGUGAGCCCAAUAAAUCAUAGUCUCAUAUGACCCUCACCACAGGCAUUUCUUUAGGACUGGCAUCUGAGCCAAGAGAGGAUACUCAGAGCAGACAGGAAUCUGAGGAGUGAAAGAAACUUUCUUCAGCUAUUAAAGUUGAGAGAAGAUAGCAGUAAGAUGGGAGCAGCCGGUGUACAUCUAGUCAGCAGAAAUGGCAAGCCAGCCUGAGAACUCCACUAACACAAAGGAAAGCAAAGCUCAGAGAAGGCAAGGGACAGACCAAGUUCUGAUGAUGCCAUAUAAUCCCACACCCUCCCAAACAGGAUACACCUGAUUUUUUAACCUUGUUUUCCUUUCUCUUGCAAUUUCAAUCCCUGAUAGAUACAGUGCUCCUGGGGGUGGUUGAGGCAUUUGAAGAUGAAUAUUUUACAAUUAGACUUUCCCUUCACGUCUGUAUUUCAGUAAACCCAUAAAUAACAUAUUUCAGAAGUGGUUGGAUUCUUGUGAUGUUUCUCAAUUUAAGUUUCAUUUUUGCAACCAUGUCCUCUAGAGGAAUUCCAGCAAAUGGCUGGCAGUGAAGUUUGGCAUGCAAACAUAUGAGGACUGUAUCUGAAAAUCUCCUUUGAAUAUUGAUUCAUCAGAUGAUUAAUCUCUAAUUUUUUAAUUAAAAAAAGCAGGCUAUAUUAUUAGUACAAAAAGAGUUUUUUUCAUUUUGUAAAUUUUUAUUUUGGGAAAAAAGUCAAACCUACAGAAAAGUUGGAGGAAUUUUACUACAGGCACAAUGCAACUUGUACCUAGAGAAAUUUAGACAUUAAAUUUUUCCCAAAAUUAUUUUCUUUCUCUAAAUACAUAUGCUUUUUUUUCUUUUGCUGAACAAUUUGAAAAUAAUUUGUAGGCAUUUCAUAACUUACCUGACAAAUAUGUUAGCAGGACUCUCCUAAGAAUAAAAACAUUCUUCUCUAUAACUUCUAUACCAAUGUUGCAUCUAAGAAAAUUAACUCUAAUUUUAAAAUAUCACCUAAUAUACUGUCCAUCUUCAAAAUUCCCUAAUUGUUCUAAAAUUGUCUUUUAGGAUCUUUUUGUAAAACUCCAGGAUCCAAUUGUGGUGUGUAAAUUGAAUUUGGUUAUGUCUCUUUAGUUUCUUUUAAUGUUGAACUGUCCCUUAUAUUUUUUCUCGUUAUAUUGAAUUGUUGACCAUUCUAGGCCUCUGGUCUUUUACAAUGUGUUCCUUUCUUGUUUUUUCUUAUGUAAAUUCAGUUUAAUAAUUUUGGCAAGAAUAGUACACAGUUGCUAUGUAUAUUUCUUGUUGUUUCACAUUAAGAACAUUAUAUCAAGUUGUCCUACCAUUGAUGAUUCAAAGUUUGGCUGCUAAAUCUCCGAAUUAUAAAGAAAAAUUCUUUUCUAUUAGUAAUUAAUAUUAUACUUGUGUGAUAUCUUGAAUAGGUAGGAAAGUCCAGUUUUCCAACAAUCCCCCACACAAUGGUUUUAGCAUUUGUUGAUAACGCUCAGAGAAGGCAAGGGACUGAACAAGUUCUGAUGAUGUGUUUUCGUUUUCGUUUGAAUAAAGUUCAUUUUUAGAAUUCAAUCAUUUUUUCCAUAUUUGUUAGAUGUCCUUUAUCUAUAAAGAUAAAGAAGACGUUACUUCCAUUCCUGCAUCUUCAUCAUACUCACACACAUAAUUAACCUUUUUCAUUAUUUUCUGUUUAUCUUUUCUGUGUGUGUGAUGUAUUACAUAUUAUACAUUUUAAAUAAUAUAUAAUAGAGAACAUUUAUUUGUACACAUACACACACACACAAAUUUCUUUUAUGCUCAUUCACAAAGAUACCACAGUAUGUACACUUUUUUGAGGCUUUUUUUUCACUUAACCAUGUAUCUUGGAAAUACUCCAUAUAAGUUAAUAGCUAGUUAUCUUUUUAUUGUUCUGUAAAUUAUUUAAUCUGUCUUCUAUAGAUGGGCAUUUCGUUUUUAUCCAAUAUUUUCUAUUUUAAUUAAUGCUGCAGUGAAUAAACUUUUGCAUAUAUUGUUUUGUUAUUUGCAGGAAGGUAUAUACAAGCAAAGUCUUAGAAAGAGGAUUUCUGGAUCAAAGUGUAAAUGCAUCGGCAGCUUUGUUAGAUAUUGCCACAUUGUGUUCAACAAGGGUUUUACCAUCAACAGUUAUGAGUGUCUGUUUUCCCAAAGCCUAGCCAAUAGUAUGUGUUUUCAAGGCACUGAUUUUCUGCUAAUCUGGUAGGUAAGAAAUAGCAUAAUGGUGUAGUUUUAAUUUGCAUUCCUAUUAUUGUCAGUGAGUUAGAGUGCCUUUUCAUAUGUUCAAGGACCAUUUUUAUAUACUUUCUCUAAACUCUUCAUUUUUCAUUUUCCCAUGUUAUUUUCACUUUAUUUUCAAUAACUCUUUUUAAAUGAAAGAUAUUAGCAUUUUAUUUUCUGUGAUGUAAGUUGCAAAUAUUUUUGUCCAGCCUGUCUUUCAAUUUUUCUGUUUUAGCAUGCAUUUUAAAAUUUUUAAUGAAGUUGAAUUUAUAAUUUUUAUAUAGCUACUUGAUAGUGAAUCAUAAUUAGAAAUGUCUCCACACACAUUAUAAAGAAAGCCAAGCAUGUUCCCGUUUAGACUGUUGAUCCAAGUAGAGUGUUUUCACGUUCUACUAGAUCAAUAAUGGAUCCAAUUUUUUUCUUUUCUAAAUGUCUAUCCAGUUUUCCAAACACUAUGUUUUAAAAAGACUAUAUUUUUUCCAGUAGCCUAAGAUACCAUAUAUAAUAUUUACUAAAUCUUCAUUUGUACUUAGGUCUAUUCUGAGCUUUCCAUACAAUUUUGUUAAUCUAUUAAUAUAUUCUUGAAUCUGUAUCAUGCCAUUUUGAUUAUAGAGACUCUAUAGUAUACUUUUUAAAAAUAGACUUUAUUUUUUAGGCCAGAUUAAGGUUCACAGCAGAAGUUACAGAGCUUUCCCAAAUACUCCCUACACCGACAGAUGCACAGCCUCCCUCAUUAUCAACAUCCCCCAUCAGAAUGAUACAAUUGCUAUAAUUGAUGAACCUAAAUUGACUACUCAUUAUUACUCAGAAUCCAUAGUUUACACUGGGGUUCACUCUUGGUUUCGUGCAUUCUGUGGGUUUGGAAAAGUUCAUAAUGCUAUAUAUCCAUUCUUAUAACAUCAUACAAAGUAGUUUCAGUGCUCUAAAAAUCCUCUGUGCUCCAGCGAUUUGCCUCUCCCUUCUCCUAACCCUUGGUCUUUUUAUUAUCUCCACAGUUUUGCCUUUUCUGGAAUGUCAUUUAGUUAGAAUCAUAUGGUAUGUAGCUUUUUUAGAUUGGAUUGUUUCAUUUAGUCAUUUGCAUUUGAAUUUCCUCGAUGUCUUUUCAUGGCUUGAUAGCUCAUUAAAAAAAAUCAAAUAAUAUUUUAUUGUCUAGAUGUACAUAUUUUAUUUAUCCGUUCACCGACUAAAGUUAAUCUUGAUUAAUUUCAUGUUCUGAAAAUUAUAAAUAAUUGUGUGCAUUUUAAUAUCUAGCAGUACUACCUAAUUGCACUUAUUUUUAAAUGUUUACUUAAAUAUUAUUUCUUGUUAUUUCUUCUACAUAAUAUAUAAAUUAAAUGUAACACUAAUAAAAAUAAAAGAAUCAGCAUAUGUAUGGAUGUUGAGACAUAUCCAUGAACAAGGAAUUAUUGGAUCUAUACAUUGUUCAAGAUUGGUCUUAAAGAGUGGUUUGGAGAUUUCUUCUUAUAGGUUUAAGUAUUUCUAGAAAAGAUUUAAGUUCAUUUAAGCAUGUUACUAUUUUUAUUGUUGUUAUAAAUUGUUUUCUGAUUAUUUUUUGUUUAUAUAAGGAUUAUUGAUUUUUGUGUGCUAACUCAGAAGUUUUGCUCUUAUACAACAGUUAUUGCAAUCCCUGUAAUACUCCCUUUGUUGAAAAAAAUUUACUUCUGCUAUUGAGUUCCCUUUCUUUUCUAAAAUGAACUUACCACCGGCACAGUGACUCAUACCUGUAAUCUCAGCUGAGGCAGGGGGAUUGCUUAAGGCCAAGAGUUGCAGACAGGCCUGGGCAACAGAGAGAGACUCCAUCUCUAAUAAGUAAAUAAAUACAUAAAAUAAACUCAUUUUCUCCCUGGUACUUAUUUUUUUAUGUCUACCUUAUAAUUGAACACCCAUAGAUCACAAUCACUUGGUGCUUAAUAAGAAAAACGUAUUCAGUGCAUGAUAAUUACAUUUGUGUGUAUCCAAUUCUAUUAUUUCCAUAAGCUAAUUAUAAAGUUGGACAUAUGUAUCUCUGAGAAAAUAGUGACCUCCAAAUGUAAUAAAAUUUAAAAACAUUUUAAUAAUUAUUUGGUAAAAUA
rnacentral:lncRNA from 1 species